rnacentral:lncRNA from 1 species
CGGGCGGUCCUCCUCCAGGGGCCGUGCCGGGGGAGGGGUAGGCCGGCGAGCAGCACCCAGAGACAGCGGAGAACAGCGGUUUGGGGCUCGCAGGGCUGAGGGGGGAUCGCUGCCUUCCCCUCGGCGAGGCGCCCGUCCCCGGGGCUGCACGCGGGGGACAAGGGCGGCGGGGCGAGGGGGCACCCGGAGCCUCUGCGUUCCACCCCCCCCGCCCCCGUGCUCUCGGCUCGGCUCAGGCGUCGGAGCCCUCCGUGGCCGCCCGCGGGGCCUCGCUCCGGGUAGGGGGGCCUGGGGAGCGGGGUACCCCGGCCUCCCGGGCCUGGGGACGGAGGAGGGCUGGGCUCACUCACCUCGGCGGGCGGCAGGCGCCGCCGGGUCUGCAUGCCGAGGGGGAUCCCCCGGGGCCGCGCUCCUCCAGCCGCCGCCGCUCGCUCCCGGGCGGGCCCCGCAGCCCCCGCGAGCGCUGGAGAGGCCGGCGCCCGCCCUCACCGCCCGCCAGCCGGGCUCCGCUCGCUGGCUCCGCGGCCAAGGCCGCCGCAGCUCCCGGCAGGCAGCGCCCCCUGGCCGGGCCCGGCGGCAGCGCACGGCACUGCGGCACCGCCGGGGAGGCAGUGCGGAGCCUGACGCACCCCCGCCCCGCCACCUCCGGAUCGCACGCCCAUACGGGCGCCCAACGGGGAGCGAGGCGGCUCUUGGGAGCCGCCCGCAAAUGGCAGCGUGUGGGAGCCGUGCGCAUCGGGCGCUCCGUGCUUCACGCCUCCGAAUCGCAGCCGGGGACGUCCUACGCUGCGCGGACACAGCGGACCUGGCAGGCCCGGGGGGCACACGGAGCGCCGACGCGGGGCCAUCCGCUCAAAGGCAGCCCCAGAGGGGGAAAAAACCGCGCCGGUUCCUCACAAAAGCGGACUCAGAAGUACGAUGGCAAAGUGACGGGUACGCGGGGAACCAUUGCUCUGCGCUCACGCUCUCACCGGCGCCUCUCUCCGCCCGUCGGGAAAACCGUCUCUCCAACGCCUCGCCCGUGUGUGCGCGUUGUGCCCCGGGGUGAGGAGGGGGCGGACAGCCCCGGGCCCCCGCGCCCGGCUCCGGCUUGAACCGCCGCCCUCUGCCGGGCGGAGCCUGAGGGCCCGCUCCCGGGCCUCGCUCACCGCCUCGCGCCUCAGCCGCGUGCCGCCGCGCUCACGGCCAACGGCCAACGCCUCGCGCCGCGGGGCGGCCUCUCAGAAGCGCCUCAGCCGCGCUGAGGGAACUGCCGGCGGGUUGGGCUUCUCCGCCUGCUUCCUACGCUGCCGUGAGCCUCCGUGAGCGAAUCGGGGACUGCUUGCCCAUCCCGCUGGAAAUCAAAAGGAAGCACUUAGUGAUUAUUCAUUGAUUCUGGUAGAACGUUGCACUUUUCAAGCAGAAAACACAAGAUACUCCCCAUUAACUGAAUCAUCAGUCCAUGGGCAAGGAGCUGAGGAGAUAAAAAACACUAAUCGUAUCUGGUAGCAGCACGUUAAAUGGAAGUGGAAUUUGUUUUCUCCCGUAAAGCAUUCCUGGUUAACCCCAACGUGCCGUCUCUGGCAAUUAGUGGUGUCACGCUUGUAAAGCACUGAUGAGUUCUGAUCCAGCGCAGUGCACAGUCACUGCCCUCAAAGCAAUCCUCAGCUCACACAGCUAAACACACGGCCUGUCUGACAGACAGAAAGGAAGUACAGCAUCAGCAAUGACUCUUCAUGCCCUCCAGCCAAGUGCACACGUGUGGCUUCCCGACUACAUGUGUCUCAGAGUCAUAUCGCUACCAGAAUUCUGCUCUGCUUUACACAGCUGUGCUGCUAGACACCUGGAAUGAAAGCGUCCUCGUCUCCGCAGUGUGCUCCCUCUGCUAGGGAAGAAUUUGGGUAUGAACAAUGAUAAACACCGUGUGCAAACAAUGAUUUUGGUCCCAAGUCCCAGCAAUGCCAUAAGGCAUGGACCAUUUACUUGGCACAUUCAGUACAACUAUCAAAGAAAUUCUUCAGCUCUUUAUAGUGCAUCAGCCUCACAUCAGUGAGCAUCUAGCACGCUGUGAUAAGAAAAAUAUGCCUAAUAAUACCCCAGGUGGUAGCACGGACAUUUGGCAUUGAGUUAACCACCUCUCUCACUAAGUCUUUCACCGUCUUUGCCCAGCUGUUUGUGAGAAGGUACCAAGGAAGAGGACAGCCUGGGGAUGUGGAGAGUCCGGCUCACACCAAGGUGGGGAACUGGAAAGAGGACGAGGAGACCAUGGCUAGAAAGCUCUGGAAAUGCUUAAGAACCUUUCUGAUAACAUUGCUGGUCUAGCCAGAAGCUGGAAGUGCCUUUAAUGAAUACCCACAGGGUUCAGGUACUCAUGAGGAUGCUCCAGAUGAAUGUCUGCUCAGUAACAAAAAAACUGCCAGGAUGUCCAAGGAGGAGAAACAGGUUCCUGUUCAACUUUGUAUCUCACUUGCUGAGUGACGUUUAACCCAUCUGAGCCUCUUUACUCGUGUAUAGUAGAACUAGUUAUACUGACUGCAUGAGUACGUGCUGCAUGAGACCACAUAAAGGUCUGUAAAAACUGCUUUGAGAGUCAUCUGGGAGAAGUGUUACUAUGAUGAGUACAUGAAAAAUUAUCAUUUGGAAGACGUGAAAUCAUCACCUAAAUAUGUGCUUUCUAGUUCUCUGAAACAAAAGACCUUUGAGAUUCAAAAGUGAAGAGUUCAAAAGAUGAACUUCAUCUUCCUAAAACGCUGCGAAAUGUGCAUUUUGCAUUUGAAGAUCUAAAAGCACAUUACAAAUUGUUGAAACUCUUGAACAACCUGCUCUACAUCACUCAAAAAUUACAUUUAAGGGUUUGGACUAGAAUCACAGAAUUCUUGAUUUUACUUCACAUCCCGUAUAUCUCAACUAGGGGAGAAUUUAAUUUCCUCAAUUGUAUAAAGUCUCCCAUCUUUCAAAGACGAUGGAGCUCCAGGAAUAAUGCUGGAGCUGUGCCAGAAGAUGGUGGCAAGUAGGAGAAUUGUGCCUCUCAUUGUUUGGAUAAAGGUCGUAAUUCAUGCCAAGCUGGUCUAAAAAAAUCUGCAUCAAGUGUGAUAUAUUGAUGGAGGAGGAGGGACUGGUUUAUCUCACAGCUUCAAGAAGGAAUUUUCUGAGUUGUUGAUAGCCUGUUCUAAAAAGCCACGUACCCUUUUCCAUACAUGCAACCAACAUAUCUGUGCUUCAUGGCCAAUGGGAAUAACAAUGGCAAACAGCAGGUGAUUUUAGAGUCUCCAAAACAGGACCAGAUGUGGGUCUGCAAAGGAGCUUACAAGCUUCUGAAGUAGAUCUACAUAAAUAACGUUCCCAGGCAUUUGUGUGGGCUUCAGUGAAUGCGCUCUGGACUUGAUGUGUUCACUCGUGGAGGCGAGGCUUACUCAGUAUGCUGGCUGAGGACAAAAUACAUCAGACACUUCGGAAAGGAAUUCCACCAGCAAAGCAGCAACACAAGAGGGUGUUUUGUGGAGGAUUUUCAAAUGGCUGUUUCUGUGAACAGAGACUCACUCCCUCAAAUGUCAACGUUUUAGAUGCAAGGAAAAUACUAAGGACAACUCAAUUUUGGAGAAAAGACUUAAAUUUUAGUUGUGUGUAAGUACAAAAUAAAAACAUUUCAAAGUGAAGAAUCAUACCAACAUAGUUCUGAUUAAAUAAUCCACUACUAAGAGCGUUGAAGCGACACCUUUUGGCAUAUGUGUUUUCUUGUGUCUUCCACUGUAACUACCAACAAAAAAGUUGUCAGAUUUUUUUACAAGUUUUGUGUACGAAUUAAAUCAAUUAAUUGCUGUACUGAUCUAAUAUAAAUGGACACAUACAUUCUAUGCAGAAAAAAAGAUCUAAUCCUUUUAAAAUCCUGUUAUAAUCUGUGUAAUAUCUUGUAGCAGCAAGUACCAUGCACCAAUUAUACUUUGAAAGUACUUUCUUUAAUAAACUGUACAUGCUCUACCAGGCAGCUUAACUUAGAGUGCUUUGUUCUCUCAUAGGAGCAAUCAAUUU